GACGAACGCUGGCGGCGUGCCUAAUACAUGCAAUUCGAGCGAACAGACGAGGCGCUUGCUCCUCGGACGUUAGCCGCGGACGUGUGAGUAACAAGAGGAUAACCUCCUUAUAAUACUGGGAUAAUUUCGGGAAUCCGGAGCUAAUACCGGAUAAUAUCUUGAACCGCAUUGUUCAUUAGUGAAUGACGGUUUUGCUGUCACUUAUCGAGUGUUCCGGGCCGCAUUAGCUAGUUGGUACGGUAACGGCUUACCAAGGCGACGAUGCGUAGCCGACCUGAGAGGGUGAUCGGCCACACUGGAACUGGGACACGGUCCAGACUCCUACGGGAGGCAGCAGUAGGGAAUCUUCCGCAAUGGGCGAAAACCUGACGGAGCAACGCCGCGUGAGUGAUGAAGGUCUUCGGAUCGUAAAAAUCUGUUAUUAGGGAAGAACAAAUGUGUAAGUAACUAUGCACGUCUUGACGGUACCUAAUCAGAAAGCCACGGCUAACUACGUG
rnacentral:rRNA from 1 species